rnacentral:tRNA from 1 species
UUAAUAGAAACCAAAUAGAGGUAUCUUAUUGUUAAUAAGAAAACUGAGUAGAUCCUAUUAAA